AUAUUAGUAAGCGGAGGAAAAGAAACUAACAAGGAUUCCCUUAGUAUCGGCGAGUGAACAGGGAAAAGCCCAGAACCGAAUCCUUCUGGUGUGACGCCAGUAGGAAAUGUGGUGUUCGGGUGGUUUCUUGCUGUGCAUUGAGUGAUUCUAAGUCCACGUGAUUGUGGCGUCUGCCAAGAG
rnacentral:rRNA from 1 species